rnacentral:misc_RNA from 1 species
UCUCCGUUUGUGAACCAGCGGAGGGAUCAUUACAGGACUCGCAAGACUCCUACAACCCUGUGAACUUAACUAUAAGCACGUUGCUUCGGCGGGUGUCUCGGAGGGGGUUCUCCCUCCCCGAGACGCUAAACCCGCCGGCAGCCUACUAUACUCUGUCUCUUUGCGUUGGCAUCUCGAGUACAAUCAAACAAGUUAAAACUUUCAACAACGGAUCUCUUGGUUCUG